rnacentral:rRNA from 1 species
GAUGAACGCUAGCGGCAGGCCUAAUACAUGCAAGUCGAACGGGAUCCAGAUCAAAGCUUGCUUUGGUCUGGUGAGAGUGGCGCACGGGUGCGUAACGCGUGAGCAACCUACCCUUGUCAGGGGGAUAGCCCGGCGAAAGUCGGAUUAAUACCGCAUGGCAUCAUUGAGAGGCAUCUUUCGAUGAUCAAAGAUUUAUCGGACAAGGAUGGGCUCGCGUGACAUUAGCUAGUUGGUAAGGUAACGGCUUACCAAGGCUGCGACGUCUAGGGGCUCUGAGAGGGAGAACUCCCCCACACUGG